AUUACAUUAUUUUGUGAUGCAUAAAGUGAAAUCUAGCAUGGAACACCGAAAAUAAAGCAGGAAAAGGAGGCAAAUUUGCCAUACGUGCACACUUCCCAUUCCGCCUCACAGCAAGAAGUGUGUAGUACUGUUGAUUAAGUAUUAUUUUUAGCUGCUUCUCCUGUAUGUAAUGGAAAUUAUCUUUGCAUACUUCCACAUUCGUGCCUUGAGGCGAGAAAGGCACUUUUUGGGAUCACCUUGACCUCUUGGCAUUGAGUGAUAAUGAAUUCAUGCUCAAAUAUUGCUUCCCUCAGCAGAACAAUCCUCUUAUUUGAGGAGAUCCAGCCUCAGCUGGAGAGGAGGACAAGGCAUAGCCAUGCAUUACCAACUCAAACCCAGGUUUUGCUGCCCCUGAGAUUUUUGCCAGCGAGUCUUUCCAAAACGUCACUGAAGACACUGCAGCUACCACCUCUUCGCCUCAGCAUCCAUGGGUGGACCCUGAACCUGUAGUGCAGCAGAUAGUUCAACACAUUUUGUGCAGAAUUGCUCUGCAAGAAAUCAUCCAAAACUUCUACCAGCAAUAAAAGAAGAAAGACAGAUUGCUGCUGAGAUUCCCACACUUCCUGUAGUGCCUGCCACCAUCUCCCAUUGUACCUGCCACCAUCUCCCAAUUUGCCUGCCAUCAACUCUCGUUGUGCCUGCCACCAGCUCUCGUUGUACCUGCCA